rnacentral:rRNA from 1 species
CCCGUCACAUCACGAAAGUGAGUUGUACUAGAAGUCGCUAAGCUGACCGCAAGGAAGCAAGCGCCCAAGGUAUGACUCAUGAUUGGGGUG